CCUUAUACUGCUCAGGCAGGACCAUGGCAUGGUCACAGUUCCCUUCCUGGCAGCUAGCUCUCAUCGUGUUUGCAUCUCCUUAACACUCUCCUCAUCUUAGAGCCUUUAUCAGCUGCAUCAUGAAGCCUCUCUCCCUAUUUUCCUGCUGGAAGGAAGCUAUAAGGCAUGGAACAGGAGCAAAGAGGCCGGGAGGAAGCGAAGCGAUGUGGCUGCUGUGGUUUCAGUUCUCACUCCACCUCGCUACUGAGAAACUGGACCUGUGGUUUGUUUUGUGGCUGGGGGGAAAGAGGAAUCGUCCUUGGAUCUGAUCCCCACUGGGAAGGCGCUCUCAGUCCCACAGACACACCGGCAACACCGAUGGGGACUGGAGGAAGAGGAGAGAAAACCAGCCCCCGAUAAACCCCACUCCAGCAGCUCCCGGUGCAUUAAUAUUCACCACAGAGCGAGGGGUGUAAAUUCACUGCUAUCUCCUCA